AACGAACGCUGGCGGCAUGCCUAACACAUGCAAGUCGAACGAGACCUUCGGGUCUAGUGGCGCACGGGUGCGUAACGCGUGGGAAAUCUGCCCUUUGGUUCGGAAUAACGGUUGGAAACGACUGCUAAUACCGGAUGAUGACGAAAGUCCAAAGAUUUAUCGCCAGAGGAUGAGCCCGCGUAGGAUUAGCUAGUUGGUGUGGUAAAGGCGCACCAAGGCGACGAUCCUUAGCUGGUCUGAGAGGAUGAUCAGCCACACUGGGACUGAGACACGGCCCAGACUCCUACGGGAGGCAGCAGUGGGGAAUAUUGGACAAUGGGCGAAAGCCUGAUCCAGCAAUGCCGCGUGAGUGAUGAAGGCCUUAGGGUUGUAAAGCUCUUUUACCCGGGAUGAUAAUGACAGUACCGGGAGAAUGAGCUCCGGCUAACUCCGUGCCAGCCGCUGCAGUAAGAC
rnacentral:rRNA from 1 species